rnacentral:rRNA from 1 species
UGGGGAAUCUUGGACAAUGGGCGCAAGCCUGAUCCAGCCAUGCCGCGUGAGUGAUGAAGGCCUUAGGGUCGUAAAGCUCUUUCGCUGGGGAUGAUAAUGACAGUACCCAGUAAAGAAACCCCGGCUAACUCCGUGCCAGCAGCCGCGGUAAUACGGAGGGGGUUAGCGUUGUUCGGAAUUACUGGGCGUAAAGCGCGCGUAGGCGGAUUGGAAAGUUGGGGGUGAAAUCCCGGGGCUCAACCUCGGAACUGCCUCCAAAACUAUCAGUCUAGAGUUCGAGAGAGGUGAGUGGAAUUCCGAGUGUAGAGGUGAAAUUCGUAGAUAUUCGGAGGAACACCAGUGGCGAAGGCGGCUCACUGGCUCGAUACUGACGCUGAGGUGCGAAAGUGUGGGGAGCAAACAGGAUUAGAUACCCUGGUAGUCCACACCGUAAACGAUGAAUGCCAGUCGUCAGCAAGCAUGCUUGUUGGUGACACACCUAACGG